NAGAGUUUGAUCAUGGCUCAGAUUGAACGCUGGCGGCAGGCUUAACACAUGCAAGUCGAGCGGUAACAGAUCUAGCUUGCUAGAUGCUGACGAGCGGCGGACGGGUGAGUAACGCGUAGAAAACUGCCCAGUAGUGGGGGAUAGCCCAGAGAAAUUUGGAUUAAUACCGCAUACGCCCUACGGGGGAAAGGGGGCUUCGGCUCUCGCUAUUGGAUGUGUCUGCGUGGGAUUAGCUAGUUGGUGAGGUAAGGGCUCACCAAGGCGACGAUCCCUAGCUGGUCUGAGAGGAUGAUCAGCCACACUGGGACUGAGACACGGCCCAGACUCCUACGGGAGGCAGCAGUGGGGAAUAUUGCAAAAUGGGCGCAAGCCUGAUGCAGCCAUGCCGCGUGUGUGAAGAAGGCUUUCGGGUUGUAAAGCACUUUCAGUGAGGAGGAAAAG
rnacentral:rRNA from 1 species